GUGCCAGCCGCCGCGGUAAGACGCAGGAUGCAAGCGUUAUCCGGAAUGAUUGGGCGUAAAGCGUCCGCAGGUGGCAAUUCAAGUCUGCUGUUAAAGCGCAGGGCUUAACUCUGUAAAGGCAGUGGAAACUGAAUAGCUAGAGUGUGGUAGGGGCAGAGGGAAUUCCCAGUGUAGCGGUGAAAUGCGUAGAGAUUGGGAAGAACAUCGGUGGCGAAGGCGCUCUGCUGGACCAUAACUGACACUCACAGGACGAAAGCUAGGGGAGCGAAUGGGAUUAGAUACCCCAGUAGUCCUAGCCGUAAACGAUGGAUACUAGGUGUUGUCUGUAUCGACCCGGACAGUGCCGUAGCUAACGCGUUAAGUAUCCCGCCUGGGGAGUACGCACGCAAGUGUGAAACUCAAAUGAAUUGGCGGGG
rnacentral:rRNA from 1 species